CCCAGGGAGCCCCGGACCGCAGCCAGGAGGGAGCGGCGAAGUGCGGCCGAGCCAGCUCGGACUGUUUUCCUUCCUCCACCGCUUGCUCCUUUUGCUGCGCGCGGACCGGACGGUAGGACUGCGGCGGUGAAAGGGACUGAAGUCCGAGCGCAGCCGCGAACUUCUGGACUGUUUUCCAAAGCAGCUGCACCGUUUUCUAUUUCCACUGGUAAAUCUUUAUUAGCAUGUGUCAGCAUUCCUGAUUUCAGAUGACUCUAGAUUGGAUUUCUUACCCUGCAAAGCUGAGGUGAAGGCCAAGCCAUGGAAAUUCAGUGAAAAUUUAUCAAGAUUUGCAUGGAGCCACGGGACUGGAGCUGAUCAAAGAGAGUGCCCGAAGAGACAGACACCUGUGGCUACAAGCAAUUAGCUCUCCUUUGUAUGGGCCACUGGAAAUGAAGAAAAACAACAAAAAAAAAGUAUAAAAGCAAUUAGCUCAAGGGACAGCUCUUGCUUGACUUCCGAUGACUACCUGUCUCAAUUCACAAUAACUAGAUAAACAAAUAUGAAGCCACUAUGUAUGUCUCUGUUUAACUUUUCUGCUAAAGUGAUAGUUUUAUCUUAGAAGUUUGUCCUAGAGAGGUUUUUGUAACCCUUUGUUCACAUAGAUAGAGUUAAUUACGGGACCUAUAGAAGCUUUUGGGGAGACUUUGAACCUAAAACGAACUACCAGUUAUUAUGUAAAUCUGUUACCGCUGGCAACCGAUCACUGUACCUAUAAAUACUGAUGUGAAAUUUCAGUCGUAGCCCUAAAAUUCUCAGGAAUAUUUUGGGGUCCCCCAACACCUCCACUUUUUUCUAGUUUCAUAAAUCUAUUCUUUGUAAAGUGUAAAAAAAAAAGGAUAAAUAGGCCAAAUUAGAGUAAUUGAGGAAGGCUGUUACAUAUCUGGUGACCAGGGAUAGCUUCUUUUAAGAAGUGACAUUUGAGAUGAGACUGUAAGAAUGAGCCAACCAUGAGAAGAACUGGAGAAA